rnacentral:rRNA from 1 species
AUUGAACGCUGGCGGCAGGCCUAACACAUGCAAGUCGGGCGAGCGGUGGACGGGUGGGUAAUGUAUGGGGAUCUUCCUGAUGGCGGGGGACAACUACGGGAAACGGUAUCUAAAACCGCAUACCAUCAGAUGAACCCAUAUGGGAUUAGCUAGUAGGUAAGGUAAAGGCGUACCUAGGCGACGAUCCGUAGCGGGUCUGAGAGGAUGAUCAGCCACACUGGGACUGAGACACGGCCCAGACUCCUACGGGAGGCAGCAGUGGGGAAUAUUGCACAAUGGGCGCAAGCCUGAUGCAGCCAUGCCGCGUGUAUGAAGAAGGCCUUCGGGUUGUAAAGUACUUUCAGUCGGGAGGCGUUACCGACAGAAGAAGCACCGGCUAACUCCGUGCCAGCAGCCGCGGUAAUUC